UGAAUUCCAGGCCAAUGAGAAACCCUUUC
rnacentral:piRNA from 1 species